AGAAAUAGUAAAAAGCUAGGGUUCAGUAAAUCUUAAUGAGCCUCCCUCAAUCCCUCCCAAUAUUCUUCUUGGGAUUGGUGGUAAAAAAAAAAAGUCCCCCUCGUUUCUGCUAUAAAUACCCUAUCUUCUCUAAUCCCUUUACAUCCUAUUAUCUCCCCCUUUUCUUCUUUCUCUUACCCUUUUUUCUUUUUGUUUAGACAGACAUGGCUGUCUUUGGAGCUUUUAGGGUUUUAUCAUUAUAAUGGCUGACGACCAUUAAAGAUAAACAAAAGGAACAUGGCCCUCUUUGUAUUCUUCCACAGCUUUCUUGAACUGCAACUUCGUCUUACAUUUUUCCUUGUUAUUUUGUGUUGCUUAUAUAGGCGGUAUGUGAGUAUGUAUGUAUGUCGUUGCGGUUCAAUAAAGCUGUGGGAAGAUACGGACAGGGUCAAAGAGAAAAUUUUCAAGAUCCAUCUGUUCUGGGAUUUGAAAAUGCUACUUUGUGUGCUUGAUUAUUUGUUUUUCUGAUUUCAUCUUACCCUUUCUCUCUCUCUCUCUCUCUCUCUCUCUCUCUCUUUGUCUCUCUUGUCUUUCUAAUCCACUUUAAGAGUUUUUGAUGCACUGAGUUUAAGUUUUUCUUUGACAUGAUUUGCCUCUGAAAGGGAGAUAAAUUAUUUCCUUUCUUUCUUUAUUUAAAUAACAAAGAUUUUUCUUAACCCUAAAUGGCUUAUUUUUUUUUAUUAUUGCAUUUUUGUUCUCUCAAUCAUAUGGAGAGAUGUUCAAGCUUGAAUUAUCAUUGGAUGUAUCUUGAUUAUUUUCUAAUUAUAACUACAACCAUUAUUUCACAACCCUUUUCUGUAUCUGGUCUAUCUUUCUCGUGGUUGCAGGCUUCCAUUGCUAUAAUUCUGCUGCAAACUGCUUCUUUUUACCUCAAAGAAUAUUUAGAAAAAAAAGUUACUCCAAAUUUGCAGUAACACUGUAAGAAGAGAGAGAGAGAGAGACAGAAAGUGGAUGAUAUAACUGUUGUUUUGGUACUUGGAAUUUUCUAUAGUGUGCCCCCCCAUUUGUAGGUUCCACGCUUCUGGUCUUGAGGUUCAAAAAGCUCUUACUUGAUAUUUGUAGAUAAAAUUCCAGCAGAUAUCAGCACUUAUACUUCCAUUGGUAAAAUGUUAACUUCAGUCAUUUUUAUACAUUUCCUAACCCCACCCAAAUAUUCCAUUGCUUUCAAUUUUUUUUCUUUUUUCUUUUUAAUUAUGAUAGGGUUACUACGGACUUAUGAAGCAUUAAAAUUCCAGACUAUACAAGGACCACUGGAAUUAGGCUUUAACCUACCCUCCCUUAUUUGAUAUCCUCACCAGUUGAUCAAGUUUAGUUUGAACCAAGCUUAAAUUUCACUCAAUUGGGUAGGUAAAUGAAGCUUUUAUCAAAAUAGAAUCGGUAUAACAUAAGAUACCUGGAUGGUUCAUGUUAAGAGUGCUUUCUUUACAUUUCAUUAAGAUUAGGGUUUCUCUUUCUCUUUAAAUAUACACACACGCGCACAUAGGCACAUAUGCCUUUUUCCAACAAUACCUAAGAAAAGGGCUUUUAGAUUAUGCCAAAAUUUAUUGUCUUGUACCAAUGGUAUUGAGACCGUUUCAAUAUCAGAUCUGAAUGUUCGUGCCUACCUUGCUUAGGUAGUAGACUAGUAGAAAUAUGGAGUGUUUUUUUAAUAUGCAAGUGGAUCUACCUAGCCAAACUAGAUAAGUGUAUAUAUUAAGGCAGGGACAGAUUAUAGGACAAAUAUUCAUAGCCAUAAAACAAAUCCGAUAAUAAAGUACAAUAUGCAGCUUAACAAACAGUUCUUAUGUGUAUAUGUGUGUCUAUUUAUCUAACUUCUGCUGUAUUGGGAGAUGUUCACUAGAAAAUUGAAUUCAUGGUUUUAAGGCCAACUCUUUUGUUCGUUUAUGAAGCUGCAUAGAUCAUUUGAUCUAGCUACUUUAAUUAUUUGAUCCAUUCAUUCAUAUAUUGUAUUAAUGCAGCCAACUAAUCUAGCUCAUAUAUAUGUAUACACCAUUGGUCCUUUUUGGGUAUUUAUAUAUUAUAUGGAUUUAAUUUAUAUACUACGUGUUAUAGCUAUUUGCUUUUUGGAAGGGAAAAUAGACCAGAGCUGAAAAGCUGUGACUGCCUUGUGUUUUGUGAAUGUCUACUUGAAUCUCGGUAAUCUUAAGAGCUACUACUGUAACCGUGUUGCAACAUUCUGUCUCACAGCCUCUAUUAAAUAAUAUUAAUUAAUCUCAAACUCUUCCACUUCAAAGAACAAGAUAAUUGGAUGCCACCUCUUUAAGGGUAGUUCUAGAAACCAAGAGAAUUAAACUGGUGCUUUGAAGUAAUUUCCUUUACACAUGUGCAUACAUGCAGCAUUUUCUUCUACAUUACUAAUGUCUGUGUAUAGGGCUGUAAAUUAUGAACAGUUAGAUUUUUAUUCGUUUAUGUUUAUUUACUAAGUUAAAUAAAUAAACAUAAGAUUUUAAAGAGAUUUUAUUAGUUUAUGUUCAUUUAUUAAGUUAAAUAAAUAAUAAGCUUGUUUAUUAAAGGAAUCAAACACAAAAACCUUAAAAUAUUGUCAUACACAAUUGAUAAUAUUUUGCAGCCAAGAAACAGGAUUGAAGCGUUAGAGAUACUGUCAUAAUGAUGGCUCACUUUGGGUUGUACAGAACUUUCUUGCAUAUAAAUGGCUUUUGAUCUUGAGGGUCAACAAAGUUGCCAUUUAUCGUUGUUGGGCGAACUUUUACAUUGAGAUAAAAGGGCAGGCCCCUCCCCUCAUGAAGCUUCAUUUAGUGCCAAGCAUAUUACCCAUAUCUACUGGUUCGAACAAAGAGUUAUGCCUCAAAAGCGACGUGACUGAACCAUUUUCCCCAACACAUGGGGGCGGAAAAUUAUUGCUUUGCCUUGCCAUUUCCCUUUCACUUAAUUUGUCCAUAGCUAUUGGGUUACCUCCCCUCCGAAGUUUUUUUUUAUUUUACACUCUAAUUAAUAUUUAUGUUUCACUAGUUUUUUGAAAUCCACUAAGGUUUUAGUUGAUUAAGACAGUAGGGCACUGAACAUGGAAGCUGAAACUACUACUGAUGUAUAAGCGCGCGACAUAUACAAGAAGAAAACCAAAGUUACACAUUUUGUUGUGUAUAAAUAGUUUGAAAAAAAAGUUAGCUAUAUGAGCUAAAUGAAUUAAAUUUAAGUUUAUUAAUCCUAUCCAAAUUAGUUGUUUCUUUUACCAUCUUAGAUUUAUUUCAUUUGAAGAAAACAUUCAAAAUUAAAAA